CAAUCACUCCUCGGAAAAAGGCAUGCAAACAUUUGGCUGUCAGCGUACUGGCCGUGGUGUUCCGUCACGAUAGUCUAUUUUAUCUUGACGUAGCUUCCUGCGUUUUUAAAAAAUGUUGAUAAACAGUAACUAAAGGUGCCGAGUGUGAAACGAAAUUAGAAUUCGUGUAAUAAUUUUGCCACGAUUUGCCUCUUUUGCUACUUUUCAAGCGAUCCAGUUGCAUGUCUAUUUUACUUCUAGAAUGACUUUGUGAGCUAUUAUUUCAUUUCUAGCACAAAUAGUUUGAGAAUGAGCUAUAGUUUGGUAAAUGGCGGUAAAAAUCGUCGCCAUACAACUGAGGAAUCAAGUGCAGGAAAACCAUACUCAAAUUGGAAAUACUUUUAUUUGGCUGCUACAAUUUUUGCAGUGUUUGGGGUAAUUCUGCUACACAUAAGGAAUCUCGAUAAAAAUGUUGAGA